GACGAACGCUGGCGGCGUGCUUAACACAUGCAAGUCGAACGGAAAGGCCCUGCUUUUGUGGGGUGCUCGAGUGGCGAACGGGUGAGUAACACGUGAGUAACCUGCCCUUGACUUUGGGAUAACUUCAGGAAACUGGGGCUAAUACCUGAUAGGAGCUCCUGCUGCAUGGUGGGGGUUGGACAGUUUCGGCGGUUGGGGAUGGACUCGCGGCUUAUCAGCUUGUUGGUGGGGUAGUGGCUUACCAAGGCUUUGACGGGUAGCCGGCCUGAGAGGGUGACCGGCCACAUUGGGACUGAGAUACGGCCCAGACUCCUACGGGAGGCAGCAGUGGGGAAUAUUGCACAAUGGGCGGAAGCCUGAUGCAGAAACGCCGCGUGCGGGAUGACGGCCUUCGGGUUGUAAACCGCUGUCGCCUGUGACGAAGCGUGAGUGACGGUAAUGGGUAAAGAAGCACCGGCUAACUACGUG
rnacentral:rRNA from 1 species